rnacentral:rRNA from 1 species
UACAGAGGUCCCAAGCGUUGUUCGGAUUCAUUGGGCGUAAAGGGCUCGUAGGCGGUCCGUCACGUCGGGAGUGAAAACUCGGAGCUCAACUCCGAGCCUGCUUCCGAUACGGGCAGACUAGAGGUAGGCAGGGGAGAGCGGAACUCCUGGUGUAGCGGUGGAAUGCGCAGAUAUCAGGAAGAACACCGGUGGCGAAGGCGGCUCUCUGGGCCUACCUGACGCUGAGGAGCGAAAGCGUGGGUAGCGAACAGG